rnacentral:rRNA from 1 species
AGUGAACGCUGGCGGCGUGCUUAACACAUGCAAGUCGAACGAGAACGGAUUAUAGCUUGCUAUAAUUGUCAGCUAAGUGGCGCACGGGUGAGUAAUGUAUAGGUAAUAUGCCUUUUACUAAGGAAUAACAAAUGGAAACGUUUGCUAAUACCUUAUACUCCUUAUUAACCUAAGUUAAUAAGGGAAAGAUUUAUUGGUAAGAGAUUAGCCUGUAUUGUAUCAGUUAGUUGGUGGGGUAAUGGCUUACCAAGACUAUGACACAUAACUGGUUUGAGAGGAUGAUCAGUCACACUGGAACUGAGACACGGUCCAGACUCCUACGGGAGGCAGCAGUGGGGAAUAUUGCACAAUGGACGGAGGUCUGAUGCAGCAACGCCGCGUGGAGGAUGACACAUUUCGGUGCGUAAACUCCUUUUAUAUGAGAAGAUAAUGACGGUAUUAUAUGAAUAAGCACCGGCUAACUCCGUGCAAGCAGCCGCCGUAA